rnacentral:rRNA from 1 species
UGUAAGCGUAUACCAAAGUUGUUGCAGUUAAAACGCUCGUAGUCGGAAUUUGGCAGUUCCGGAUGUGUGCACGUCGUGUGCGCACUUCGCGGGGAUUGCUUUUGUGGUCUUGCGUAGGAUGAGGCACUUUUAUUAGUGAACGUCCUCACGCAACCACUUUUUACUGUGAGAAAAUCAGAGUGCUCAAAGCAGGCAUUUGCCGUGAAUGUAUUAGCAUGGAAUAAUAGAAUAGGACUUGGUUCUAUUUUGUUGGUUUGUUGGGACUGAGUAAUGAUUAAGAGGGACAGUUGGGGGCAUUUGUAUUUCGGUGCUAGAGGUGAAAUUCGUAGAUUACCGAAAGACAAACUGCUGCGAAAGCGUCUGCCAAGGAUGUUUUCAUUGA